ensembl:lncRNA
CUCAGGGAAGGUUGUGGAGGCUGAGGCUUAUUCCCUAAAAACAAGAAAUGGAAGACACAUAAAGGCCUGUGUGCCCAGGAGCCCUACAGGGCCCUGCUCGGUUACAACAUAAAGGAUGCCUGGUCAUUGUUUUCAUAAUGUGUGAGACAUUGUUUGGUUUGGGGGUAGGAAGAGGGCUCAAAUAGAAAGACCAAGAGUUGCAAAUAAAGACAGAGGUGCCGCUUUCAGUUUAGUUGGGAAACACAGUUUAGUUGGGAGACAGACAGGUGAGAAGUUCCUUACCAGAUACUGGUGGAAAUCAGUGCAGUUGUGUGGGAGAUUCUCAUUUUUUGUUUUGUUCCCUUUCUUUAAUAGGCAGGAGGUGGCUCUUUCUAAAGCUGCCACAGACGACAUCCCAGCUUGAAUGCACAAGCUGUUGUGAAGCUUGAUCCAAGUAAAUUGUCAAGGCAUCGAAGUCUGUGUUCAGCAAAAUCCAGCAGUCCCUGGCACUCUGGGUGGGGUGGGUGGGUGAGAAGCAUUCUCUGAGUGUGGGAAAAAUGCUGUUGGUCAUGGGGAAAUUUCUGACCUGGAAUUAUUAUUUAGGCCUGGAUUCUUAAUCCUGUGCUCUUGGAAAAUUGGUUUAAUUUUUCUUGGCCUCAGUUUCCUCAUCUGGGAAAUAAAAGAACGGAACAAAAUGCCUUUAAGUAAGUUUAAGGUUCAUGAUUUCAUGAACUGCAGGGACAAUUCUUAUCCACAUCUAGGAUGGGAAAAUAUGGGAAGUUUUCAAACAAAUAAGUGGAGAGUCUUGGCUUUCCAUUGAGUAUAAACAUCCAGGCAUAUGCUAUAUGUUUUAUUAGGAAAAAACCAACCAACCAACCAACCAACCAAAAAAAUGAGAAGGAAGAGCUCCCUACUCAGUGAGUCCAGGAGCUACAUCAGCCCCUAACAGGGACUGAGGUCAGAAGGCCAAUCCCAGCUUCCUGUCCAUGAGGAUAUUCUCUCCCUACAAUGGCCAGGAUGGCACCCUGCUUACCUCCAGUUUCAUCUCUGCAUUGAGCUGCUUCCGCAAAUACUGAACUGUACACAUCCCAAGAGAAGAAAGACAAAGGAACAAAAGAAUAAAUAUGAAUUGGGCAUCUACUCAGGUCAGGCAUUGGGUGAGGAUUAUAACUAUGCUCUUUCUUUGCUGUUUUGUUUUGUUUUGUUUUUUUUUGUCUUUCUAGGGCUGCACCUGUAGCAUAUGGAGGUUCCCAGGCUAGGGGUCUAAUCGGAGCUGUUGCCGCCUGCCUACACCACAGCCACAGCAAAGCUAGAUCCAAGCUCUGUCUGUCACCUACACCCCAGCUCACAGCAACGCUGGAUCCUUAACCCACUGAGCGAGGCCUAACCCUAACCCUAACCCUAACCCACUGAGCGAGGCUGGAUGCCUGAACCCGAAACUCAUGGUUCCUAGUUGGAUUCUUUAACCACUG